rnacentral:lncRNA from 1 species
GGCUGUUCGGGAACCUCAUUUCUCUACUGGUUGGGGGUCCUGUCCUUAAGCUCCCAUCUGUCAGUCCUCGGGGGCCUGUCCUGGGGAACUACCUCCCAUCAACUACACCUUUGGUCUUGCAUCCAAGCCUCCGGAUGUCUUGUCCCUGAGUGCUUCCCAAAUGUUGGUCUUUGAUGUUCUUGUAGCCAACCGCCUGAAGAUGCUGGAAGCCAACUGCCUGAAACCCCCGCUUCGGCCAGUUUCCUUUACUUUCUGUUCAGUUAACAUCCUAGACCUCUGAUUCGGCCUCAGAUUUGGCUCUCGGUGCCUCUACUCCUCUGGUCCUUUCACCUCAAACUGCGGUCCAGCUCUCGAGUCUCCCUUGUAUGAACUAGAGCUCAGGUAUUGAUGACAAGUGGUUGGAUGUGACACUGGUGAGGGAGACAAGGGCCAGGUUUGAAGGGACCUGUAGCCAGACUAAGGACUCUGAACUUUAUUUUGAGCCCAACGAAGGAUUGUUGAUUUUCUUUUCUUUUGUCAGAAGUGAGACAGCCACACUGAAGGCUUGCUUCCCUCCUGCUCAUAGAGAGCUGAUAGCAACAACCAAGGCUACAUGCUUCCUGAGUUACAGCUGAUGAGAGACUGUCCACUCCACAACUGUCAGAGUCCUGAGCUUCAUUCCGAUUGCAACCCUGCCGCAUGCUCACUCCUUACUACUGUGAAAGGUCAUUGCUAUCAUUAUGGUGCUCAGCGGGUCUUUACUAAUCUAUUUACUCAUACUUAAAUGGAAAAUUUCAGAGUAUGUGUUUCCUCAUGGUUCUAUCUUUGGGAACAAGUCUGAUGGCCACUGCCUUUCUCCCUGCCAGAGUCAGGAUCUAGCAUCAGGGGUUUCCAGGGUUCCCUGGGAGCAGACGACUGUUGCCUAACAGCUACGUGGCUAACAGUACCACUGCCAGCAAGAACACUCCUUUACUUCACAGAAGUCUCCCCCUU